CACGUAGGGGGCGAGCGUUGUCCGGAUUUAUUGGGCGUAAAGAGCUCGUAGGCGGCUCAGUAAGUCAGGUGUGAAAACUCCAGGCUCAACCUGGAGACGCCACCUGAUACUGCUGUGGCUAGAGUCCGGUAGGGGAGCAUGGAAUUCCUGGUGUAGCGGUGAAAUGCGUAGAGAUUGGAAAGAACACCGAUGGCGAAGGCACUUUACUGGGCUAUUACUAACACUGAGAGACGAAAGCUAGGGGAGCAAAUGGG
rnacentral:rRNA from 1 species